UAAGCGUUGUUCGGAAUUACUGGGCGUAAAGGGCUCGUAGGCGGCCAACUAAGUCAGACGUUAAAUCCCUCAGCUUAACUGGGGAACUGCGUCUGAUACUGGAUGGCUUGGAUUCGGGAGAGGAAUGCGGAAUUCCAGGUGUAGCGGUGAAAUGCGUAGAUAUCUGGAGGAACACCCGAGGCGAAGGCGGCUCACUGGGACGGUACUGACGCUGAGACGCGAAAGCUAGGGGAGCAAACAGG
rnacentral:rRNA from 1 species